rnacentral:rRNA from 1 species
UUGGCCUACGGGGCGCAGCAGUGGGGAAUAUUGGGCAAUGGGCGCAAGCCUGACCCAGCAACGCCGCGUGAAGGAAGAAGGCUUUCAGGUUGUAAACUUCUUUUCUUGGGGACGAAGAGAGUGACGGUACCCAAGGAAUAAGCCACGGCUAACUACGUGCCAGCAGCCGCGGUAAUACGUAGGUGGCAAGCGUUAUCCGGAUUUAUUGGGUGUAAAGUGCGUGUAGGCGGGAUUGCAAGUCAGAUGUUAAAACAAC